GAAAGAGUAAAGAACCGCUCUCAAUUUCGACUCUCUCCCUCCGCUAAGAACCGCUAAAGGAGCAGCAGGUACUGACACUUAAUUGUUACUACCUCUUCUUCCUAACAAACGUAAUCUAUCUACUACUUGACGAAAAAAGUGUGAUACCUAUCCCGUCACAGAUACAACCAAGUCACACAUCAGUAGACAUACUAUCCUUCACAGUUCACACAUACAACCAAGUCGACAAAAAAAGAAAAGUUUUUCCUCCUAACGGGGGCCGGAGACGUAGCGUUACAACCAAGUCAACACAGAGAUAUUAGACAUCUUCUGUGAUCCAUGAUAUGAACGUUCCAAAAGAAUGACAUUAAAGUUCCAAAAAGUGGACGAACAGUACUUACGUUUACCCAAGUCAGGUUGGGCGCAUAUAUGUAUGGUUGAGUACUGAGUCCCGACGUUUGCCCACAGAAACUCUAAGUUGUUCAAGGCCAGUAUUACAGUGACAUUAUUAGUGUGUUAUACUCACAUGCAAUACGUAUUUAUGUG
rnacentral:rRNA from 1 species